rnacentral:rRNA from 1 species
GUGUCAGCAGCCGCGGUAAUACGGAGGGGGCCAGCGUUGUUCGGAAUCAUUGGGCGUAAAGGGCGCGUAGGUGGCCGCGCAAGUCGGAGGUGAAAUCCCUCGGCCCAACCGAGGAACUGCCUCUGAAACUGCGCGGCUCGAGUCCCGGAGAGGGCAGUGGAAUUCCCAGUGUAGCGGUGAAAUGCGUAGAUAUUGGGAGGAACACCGGUGGCGAAGGCGGCUGCCUGGACGGGUACUGACGCUGAUGCGCGAAAGCGUGGGGAGCAAACAGGAUUAGAAACCCGCGUAGUCC